UUUCCAUUUUGUUUGUUUUUGUGGAAGAGCAGCUUAAGACCACUCAGUAGUUGUUCCUACCCAUUCAGUGGCCUGAGCAGUGGGAGGUGCAGGCCUGGAU